rnacentral:rRNA from 1 species
UACGUAGGGCGCAAGCGUUGUCCGGAAUUAUUGGGCGUAAAGAGCUCGUAGGCGGUUUGUCGCGUCUGCUGUGAAAACCUAAGGCUCAACCUUGGGCUUGCAGUGGGUACGGGCAGACUAGAGUGCGGUAGGGGGUGACUGGAAUUCCUGGUGUAGCGGUGGAAUGCGCAGAUAUCAGGAGGAACACCGAUGGCGAAGGCAGGUCACUGGGCCGCAACUGACGCUGAGGAGCGAAAGCGUGGGGGAGCGAACAGG